rnacentral:ncRNA from 1 species
CAAGGUGCCGUGCGGCUCAAUAGGAAAUCCCGUGCAAUUCGGGAGCGGUCCCGCCGCUGUAACCGGGGACGAAACCUGACACAUCCACUGCGGGGAUGCCCCCUGCGGGAAGGGUCGGGAGGUAGAUGGAUCCGGAAGCCAGAAGACCUGCCUUGCGG